AUGUGUCGAUCCUUCUGCGCCACAGACCUUUUCUGCGGUUUGCGUUCGAAGGACAGGCAUAUCAGUACAAGGUCCUGCCCUUCUGGCUGUCGCUGCCUCCCCCGUGUCUUCACGAAAGUCGCGGAGGUGGCUCUUGUUCCCCUCAGAGAGCAGGGUGUUCGCAUUCUCAACUAUCUAGAUGAUUGGCUGAUACUAGCACAAUCUCGGGAUCAGUUGUGUGAGCACAAGGACCUGGUGCACCGGCACCUCAGCCUGUUGGGCCUUCGGGUCAACUGGGAAAAGAGCGCAAACUCGCCAACGCAGAGGAUCUCUUUUCUUGGUAUGGAGUUGGAUUCGGUCGAACAGACAGCACGCCUCACAGAGGAACGUGCACGGUCAGUGCUAGCCUGCUUAAAUACAUUCAAGGGCAGGACAGCGGUCCCUGGGGCAUAUGGCGGCCGCAGCGGCACUUACACCGCUCGGCCUGUUACACAUGCAAUACAUAUUACAUACAAGCAUGUGCUGGUCCGAACGGACAACACGGUGACCGUUGCGUACAUCAACCGACAAGGUGGUCUGCGCUCCCGUCGCAUGUCACAACUCGCCCGACAACUCCUCCUUUUGGAGUCGGAAGGUUCUGAGGUCACUUUGUGCCGUUCACAUUCUGGGCCUGCUCAACCGUACAGCCGACGAGCUGUCUCGAGCGAUGUUCCCGGGAUAAUGGCGACUCCAUCCCUGACGGUCCAGCUGAUUUGGAGACGGUUCGGAGCCGCUCAGGUAGACCUGUUUGCUUCUCCAGAGACCGCUCACUGCCAGUUGUUCUCGGCAUGGACGCACUGGCACACAGCUGGCCGCGGGGCCUACACAAGUAUGCAUUCCCCCAGUGAGCCUUCUUGCACAGACACUGUGCAAAGGCGGGGUAGGACGAGGAAGGAUCUCCUGACUCAGAGACGGGGCACCAUUUGGCACCCGCGUCCAGACCUUUGGAAACUCCAUGUCUGGUCCCUGGACGGAGGUUCUAGGUGA
ensembl:lncRNA